rnacentral:rRNA from 1 species
UUAAGCGACUAAGCGUACACGGUGGAUGCCCUGGCAGUCAGAGGCGAUGAAGGACGUGCUAAUCUGCGAUAAGCGUCGGUAAGGUGAUAUGAACCGUUAUAACCGGCGAUUUCCGAAUGGGGAAACCCAGUGUGUUUCGACACACUAUCAUUAACUGAAUCCAUAGGUUAAUGAGGCGAACCGGGGGAACUGAAACAUCUAAGUACCCCGAGGAAAAGAAAUCAACCGAGAUUCCCCCAGUAGCGGCGAGCGAACGGGGAGCAGCCCAGAGCCUGAAUCAGUGUGUGUGUUAGUGGAAGCGUCUGGAAAGGCGCGCGAUACAGGGUGACAGCCCCGUACACAAAAAUGCACAUAUUGUGAGCUCGAUGAGUAGGGCGGGACACGUGGUAUCCUGUCUGAAUAUGGGGGGACCAUCCUCCAAGGCUAAAUACUCCUGACUGACCGAUAGUGAACCAGUACCGUGAGGGAAAGGCGAAAAGAACCCCGGCGAGGGGAGUGAAAAAGAACCUGAAACCGUGUACGUACAAGCAGUGGGAGCACGCUUAGGCGUGUGACUGCGUACCUUUUGUAUAAUGGGUCAGCGACUUAUAUUCUGUAGCAAGGUUAACCGAAUAGGGGAGCCGAAGGGAAACCGAGUCUUAACUGGGCGUUAAGUUGCAGGGUAUAGACCCGAAACCCGGUGAUCUAGCCAUGGGCAGGUUGAAGGUUGGGUAACACUAACUGGAGGACCGAACCGACUAAUGUUGAAAAAUUAGCGGAUGACUUGUGGCUGGGGGUGAAAGGCCAAUCAAACCGGGAGAUAGCUGGUUCUCCCCGAAAGCUAUUUAGGUAGCGCCUCGUGAAUUCAUCUCCGGGGGUAGAGCACUGUUUCGGCAAGGGGGUCAUCCCGACUUACCAACCCGAUGCAAACUGCGAAUACCGGAGAAUGUUAUCACGGGAGACACACGGCGGGUGCUAACGUCCGUCGUGAAGAGGGAAACAACCCAGACCGCCAGCUAAGGUCCCAAAGUCAUGGUUAAGUGGGAAACGAUGUGGGAAGGCCCAGACAGCCAGGAUGUUGGCUUAGAAGCAGCCAUCAUUUAAAGAAAGCGUAAUAGCUCACUGGUCGAGUCGGCCUGCGCGGAAGAUGUAACGGGGCUAAACCAUGCACCGAAGCUGCGGCAGCGACGCUUAUGCGUUGUUGGGUAGGGGAGCGUUCUGUAAGCCUGCGAAGGUGUGCUGUGAGGCAUGCUGGAGGUAUCAGAAGUGCGAAUGCUGACAUAAGUAACGAUAAAGCGGGUGAAAAGCCCGCUCGCCGGAAGACCAAGGGUUCCUGUCCAACGUUAAUCGGGGCAGGGUGAGUCGACCCCUAAGGCGAGGCCGAAAGGCGUAGUCGAUGGGAAACAGGUUAAUAUUCCUGUACUUGGUGUUACUGCGAAGGGGGGACGGAGAAGGCUAUGUUGGCCGGGCGACGGUUGUCCCGGUUUAAGCGUGUAGGCUUGUUUUCCAGGCAAAUCCGGAAAAUCAAGGCUGAGGCGUGAUGACGAGGCACUACGGUGCUGAAGCAACAAAUGCCCUGCUUCCAGGAAAAGCCUCUAAGCAUCAGGUAACAUCAAAUCGUACCCCAAACCGACACAGGUGGUCAGGUAGAGAAUACCAAGGCGCUUGAGAGAACUCGGGUGAAGGAACUAGGCAAAAUGGUGCCGUAACUUCGGGAGAAGGCACGCUGAUAUGUAGGUGAAGUCCCUUGCGGAUGGAGCUGAAAUCAGUCGAAGAUACCAGCUGGCUGCAACUGUUUAUUAAAAACACAGCACUGUGCAAACACGAAAGUGGACGUAUACGGUGUGACGCCUGCCCGGUGCCGGAAGGUUAAUUGAUGGGGUCAGCGCAAGCGAAGCUCUUGAUCGAAGCCCCGGUAAACGGCGGCCGUAACUAUAACGGUCCUAAGGUAGCGAAAUUCCUUGUCGGGUAAGUUCCGACCUGCACGAAUGGCGUAAUGAUGGCCAGGCUGUCUCCACCCGAGACUCAGUGAAAUUGAACUCGCUGUGAAGAUGCAGUGUACCCGCGGCAAGACGGAAAGACCCCGUGAACCUUUACUAUAGCUUGACACUGAACAUUGAGCCUUGAUGUGUAGGAUAGGUGGGAGGCUUUGAAGUGUGGACGCCAGUCUGCAUGGAGCCGGCCUUGAAAUACCACCCUUUAAUGUUUGAUGUUCUAACGUGGACCCGUGAUCCGGGUUGCGGACAGUGUCUGGUGGGUAGUUUGACUGGGGCGGUCUCCUCCUAAAGAGUAACGGAGGAGCACGAAGGUUGGCUAAUCCUGGUCGGACAUCAGGAGGUUAGUGCAAUGGCAUAAGCCAGCUUGACUGCGAGCGUGACGGCGCGAGCAGGUGCGAAAGCAGGUCAUAGUGAUCCGGUGGUUCUGAAUGGAAGGGCCAUCGCUCAACGGAUAAAAGGUACUCCGGGGAUAACAGGCUGAUACCGCCCAAGAGUUCAUAUCGACGGCGGUGUUUGGCACCUCGAUGUCGGCUCAUCACAUCCUGGGGCUGAAGUAGGUCCCAAGGGUAUGGCUGUUCGCCAUUUAAAGUGGUACGCGAGCUGGGUUUAGAACGUCGUGAGACAGUUCGGUCCCUAUCUGCCGUGGGCGCUGGAGAACUGAGGGGGGCUGCUCCUAGUACGAGAGGACCGGAGUGGACGCAUCACUGGUGUUCGGGUUGUCAUGCCAAUGGCACUGCCCGGUAGCUAAAUGCGGAAGAGAUAAGUGCUGAAAGCAUCUAAGCACGAAACUUGCCCCGAGAUGAGUUCUCCCUGACCCUUUAAGGGUCCUGAAGGAACGUUGAAGACGACGACGUUGAUAGGCCGGGUGUGUAAGCGCAGCGAUGCGUUGAGCUAACCGGUACUAAUGAACCGUGAGGCUUAACCUU